UACGUAGGGUGCGAGCGUUGUCCGGAAUUAUUGGGCGUAAAGAGCGUGUAGGCGGUUUGUCGCGUCUGCUGUGAAAAUCCGGGGCUCAACCCCGGACUUGCAGUGGGUACGGGCAGACUAGAGUGUGGUAGGGGAGACUGGAAUUCCUGGUGUAGCGGUGAAAUGCGCAGAUAUCAGGAGGAACACCGAUGGCGAAGGCAGGUCGCUGGGCCACUACUGACGCUGAGACGCGAAAGCAUGGGGAGCGAACAGG
rnacentral:rRNA from 1 species